rnacentral:lncRNA from 1 species
UUCAUAAACAAUAUCUUUUGCAACAAUUUGUGAAAAGGGUUCCCUAUGAGUACCUAGGAUGCAUUGGGUGCCUAACACCUUCCCUUUGCAUAAUUACCCCCUUACCCAUAUCUCUGACCUUUCAUUAGUUUUCUAUGGGUAAAACUUCUUAGGCUUUUGUUCGCUUUUUAGCCAUUCCUUUGGAUAAAUAAAAGUGCGG